rnacentral:lncRNA from 1 species
UUCAGGGAUCGAGUAAUCUGCCAAGCAAGAGUUUAUUCAAGCACAGUUUGAAAUAAAGGUUUCAAAUGCAUAGCCUGUCGAUAUUUUGGAAGGAUUCUCAUCAUAACGAGUAUGCAAUUUGCUAUAAAGAAGAAUGCCCAUUAUGGACUAAAUGUUUAUGUCCUCCUAAAAUUCAUAUGUUGAAGGCCUAACUCUCAAUGUGAUGAUUAUGUGGAGAUGGUGCCUUUGGGAGGAUAUGGGAGAACACCUGAGACGGCAGGCCAGAAGUCACUCAGUAGGAGAAACAUCCAUUAGAAGUAAUAAUGUGGGAUUGGUGAAGUAAAGACUAUAGGAAGAAAAAAGUGUCUGUGUGUAGGAAACAGAAAGGGAGAGAAAAAUACAUUGAGAUGGUAAAGUAAGGAAGUGGAAGAUCAGCAGAAUAUGCAGAUGCCAAGCCAUCCAAGAAAAUCAUCUCUUGUGAUUGUUGCGAAGUCAACUAGCUAAUGUGACUCACUGCUAGGCUGUUGGAUCUCAGACUUAUGUGGGAUAAUUUAGAAACUUGCUAGUGUCUUAAGAUCAAUUACUCACCAAUGAGAGUGGCAUUGAACUGUGAAUGUUCCUCCUAGAUUUUCCAUGAAGACUAAUGGUUUUGUCUUGUCUUGAAUUUAUUUUAAUUACAAUUUGUAUACAUCCUGUUCCACCCUGAAAUUUUUAUUUUCCAAAUGGUUUUUCAUUUAAAGAGACUAAAUAAAGGUU